UAUCAGCCUUUUGGGCAUGAUUCUGUGGAGCGUGAGGAGUUAAACGCCUUCAUGCCUGCAUAUUCGUGUACUUUGGGUGUACUUGCCUGUGUGGUUAGUUAACAUCAAUUUUGGUUAUCAUAAAAUGGUUGGAGGAAUGUAGCUUCGAUUUCGAUUGAAGUGUUAUAGCCUUCGGCAGAUGUGAUGAUCGGGAUUGAGGAUUGCAACGGAUACCCUUCGGGGCUACCUGUCUGGUCUCUGAUCGCUGCUCUGGUGCCGAAAGCGUGCUUACGGUUAUCAAAGUCGAUGGUCAAUAGGUUAGAACGGGUUAAAUUCGUUAAGGAUGUUGACGUA
rnacentral:rRNA from 1 species